rnacentral:rRNA from 1 species
AAAUUGAAGAGUUUGAUCAUGGCUCAGAUUGAACGCUGGCGGCAGGCCUAACACAUGCAAGUCGAGCGGAAACGAGUUAUCUGAACCUUCGGGGAACGAUAACGGCGUCGAGCGGCGGACGGGUGAGUAAUGCCUAGGAAAUUGCCCUGAUGUGGGGGAUAACCAUUGGAAACGAUGGCUAAUACCGCAUAACGCCUACGGGCCAAAGAGGGGGACCUUCGGGCCUCUCGCGUCAGGAUAUGCCUAGGUGGGAUUAGCUAGUUGGUGAGGUAAGGGCUCACCAAGGCGACGAUCCCUAGCUGGUCUGAGAGGAUGAUCAGCCACACUGGAACUGAGACACGGUCCAGACUCCUACGGGAGGCAGCAGUGGGGAAUAUUGCACAAUGGGCGCAAGCCUGAUGCAGCCAUGCCGCGUGUGUGAAGAAGGCCUUCGGGUUGUAAAGCACUUUCAGUCGUGAGGAAGGUAGUGUAGUUAAUAGCUGCAUUAUUUGACGUUAGCGACAGAAGAAGCACCGGCUAACUCCGUGCCAGCAGCCGCGGUAAUACGGAGGGUGCGAGCGUUAAUCGGAAUUACUGGGCGUAAAGCGCAUGCAGGUGGUUUGUUAAGUCAGAUGUGAAAGCCCGGGGCUCAACCUCGGAAUUGCAUUUGAAACUGGCAGACUAGAGUACUGUAGAGGGGGGUAGAAUUUCAGGUGUAGCGGUGAAAUGCGUAGAGAUCUGAAGGAAUACCGGUGGCGAAGGCGGCCCCCUGGACAGAUACUGACACUCAGAUGCGAAAGCGUGGGGAGCAAACAGGAUUAGAUACCCUGGUAGUCCACGCCGUAAACGAUGUCUACUUGGAGGUUGUGGCCUUGAGCCGUGGCUUUCGGAGCUAACGCGUUAAGUAGACCGCCUGGGGAGUACGGUCGCAAGAUUAAAACUCAAAUGAAUUGACGGGGGCCCGCACAAGCGGUGGAGCAUGUGGUUUAAUUCGAUGCAACGCGAAGAACCUUACCUACUCUUGACAUCCAGAGAACUUUCCAGAGAUGGAUUGGUGCCUUCGGGAACUCUGAGACAGGUGCUGCAUGGCUGUCGUCAGCUCGUGUUGUGAAAUGUUGGGUUAAGUCCCGCAACGAGCGCAACCCUUAUCCUUGUUUGCCAGCGAGUAAUGUCGGGAACUCCAGGGAGACUGCCGGUGAUAAACCGGAGGAAGGUGGGGACGACGUCAAGUCAUCAUGGCCCUUACGAGUAGGGCUACACACGUGCUACAAUGGCGCAUACAGAGGGCAGCCAACUUGCGAAAGUGAGCGAAUCCCAAAAAGUGCGUCGUAGUCCGGAUCGGAGUCUGCAACUCGACUCCGUGAAGUCGGAAUCGCUAGUAAUCGUGGAUCAGAAUGCCACGGUGAAUACGUUCCCGGGCCUUGUACACACCGCCCGUCACACCAUGGGAGUGGGCUGCAAAAGAAGUAGGUAGUUUAACCUUCGGGAGGACGCUUACCACUUUGUGGUUCAUGACUGGGGUGAAGUCGUAACAAGGUAGCGCUAGGGGAACCUGGCGCUGGAUCACCUCCUUAUACGAUGAU